UACGGGGGGGGGCAAGCGUUGUUCGGAAUUACUGGGCGUAAAGGGCCAGUAGGCGGCCAACUAAGUCCGACGUGAAAUCCCAAGGCUUAACCUUGGAACUGCGUCGGAUACUGGAUGGCUUGAAUUCGGGAGAGGGAUGCAGAAUUCCAGGUGUAGCGGUGAAAUGCGUAGAUAUCGGGAGGAACAUCAGUGGCGAAGGCGGCCCUCUGGACCAGCACUGACGCUGAGGCACGAAAGCGUGGGGAGCAAACAGG
rnacentral:rRNA from 1 species